rnacentral:rRNA from 1 species
GACGAACGCUGGCGGCGUGCUUAACACAUGCAAGUCGAGCGGUAAGGCCCUUUCGGGGGUACACGAGCGGCGAACGGGUGAGUAACACGUGGGUGACCUGCCCUCAGCUCUGGGAUAAGCCCGGGAAACUGGGUCUAAUACCGGAUAUGACUCCAUGACGCAUGUUGUGGGGUGGAAAGCCUUGUGCGGCUGAGGAUGGGCCCGCGGCCUAUCAGCUUGUUGGUGGGGUGAUGGCCUACCAAGGCGACGACGGGUAGCCGGCCUGAGAGGGCGACCGGCCACACUGGGACUGAGACAUGGCCCAGACUCCUACGGGAGGCAGCAGUGGGGAAUCUUGCGCAAUGGGCGAAAGCCUGACGCAGCGACGCCGCGUGAGGGAUGACGGCCUGGUGUAAC